GAGGGUGUAGCUCAGGUGGUAGAGCACUUGCUUAGCACACACAGGGUCCUGGGUUCAAUCCCCAGUACCUCCU
rnacentral:tRNA from 1 species